rnacentral:rRNA from 1 species
AAACCAAGCGUUGCUAUAAUGCAGUCGAACGCGUUGGCCCAAUUGAUUGAUGGUGCUUGCACCUGAUUGAUUUUGGUCGCCAACGAGUGGCGGACGGGUGAGUAACACGUAGGUAACCUGCCCAGAAGCGGGGGACAACAUUUGGAAACAGAUGCUAAUACCGCAUAACAGCGUUGUUCGCAUGAACAACGCUUAAAAGAUGGCUUCUCGCUAUCACUUCUGGAUGGACCUGCGGUGCAUUAGCUUGUUGGUGGGGUAACGGCCUACCAAGGCGAUGAUGCAUAGCCGAGUUGAGAGACUGAUCGGCCACAAUGGGACUGAGACACGGCCCAUACUCCUACGGGAGGCAGCAGUAGGGAAUCUUCCACAAUGGGCGCAAGCCUGAUGGAGCAACACCGCGUGAGUGAAGAAGGGUUUCGGCUCGUAAAGCUCUGUUGUUAAAGAAGAACACGUAUGAGAGUAACUGUUCAUACGUUGACGGUAUUUAACCAGAAAGUCACGGCUAACUACGUGCCAGCAGCCGCGGUAAUACGUAGGUGGCAAGCGUUAUCCGGAUUUAUUGGGCGUAAAGAGAGUGCAGGCGGUUUUCUAAGUCUGAUGUGAAAGCCUUCGGCUUAACCGGAGAAGUGCAUCGGAAACUGGAUAACUUGAGUGCAGAAGAGGGUAGUGGAACUCCAUGUGUAGCGGUGGAAUGCGUAGAUAUAUGGAAGAACACCAGUGGCGAAGGCGGCUACCUGGUCUGCAACUGACGCUGAGACUCGAAAGCAUGGGUAGCGAACAGGAUUAGAUACCCUGGUAGUCCAUGCCGUAAACGAUGAGUGCUAGGUGUUGGAGGGUUUCCGCCCUUCAGUGCCGGAGCUAACGCAUUAAGCACUCCGCCUGGGGAGUACGACCGCAAGGUUGAAACUCAAAGGAAUUGACGGGGGCCCGCACAAGCGGUGGAGCAUGUGGUUUAAUUCGAAGCUACGCGAAGAACCUUACCGGUCUUGACAUCUUGCGC